UACGGGGGGAGCAAGCGUUGUUCGGAUUUACUGGGCGUAAAGGGCGCGUAGGCGGUCGUGACAAGUCACUUGUGAAAUCUCCGGGCUUAACUCGGAACGGUCAAGUGAUACUGUCGGACUAGAGUACAGAAGGGGCAACUGGAAUUCUCGGUGUAGCGGUGAAAUGCGUAGAUAUCGAGAGGAACACCUGCGGCGAAGGCAGCUCGCUGGGACGGUACUGACGCUGAGACGCGAAAGCGUGGGGAGCGAACAGG
rnacentral:rRNA from 1 species